rnacentral:rRNA from 1 species
AGAAUCAACGCUGGCGGCGUGCCUAACACAUGCAAGUCGAACGCGAAAGGGGAGCAAUCCCUGAUUAGAGUGGCAAACGGGUGAGUAACACGUGGGUGACCUGCCUUCGAGUGGGGGAUAACCUUCCGAAAGGAGGGCUAAUACCGCAUGACAUACCGUGUUUGGAUACACGGAUAUCAAGGCCGGGGAUCGCAAGACCUGGCGCUUGGAGAGGGGCCCGCGUCCGAUUAGCUAGUUGGUGGGUAACGGCUCACCAAGGCUCCGAUCGGUA